UGAAUACGAGAUGCUACGGCGUCGAAGCAGUCUAUGUCAUACUUCCAAGAAAAGCUUGCACUGUCAUAAACAAAUAAUGCCUGUACCAUAACCGACACAGGUGGGUAGGUAGAGUAUACUAAGGGGCGCGAGAUAACUCUCUCUAAGGAACUCGGCAAAAUGACUCCGUAACUUCGGGAGAAGGAGUGCCUUAUUUAUAAGGUUGCAAUAACAAGAUCCAAGCAACUGUUUACCAAAACCACAGGUCUCCGCUAAGUCGUAAGACGAUGUAUGGGGGCUGACGCCUGCCCAGUGCCAGAAGGUUAAAGAAGUUGGUUAGCAUCCGCGAAGCUGAUAACUGAAGCCCUGGUGAACGGCGGCCGUAACUAUAACGGUCCUAAGGUAGCGAAAUUCCUUGUCGGGUAAGUUCCGACCCGCACGAAAGGCGUAAUGAUUUGGAUACUGUCUCGGAGAGGGGCUCGGUGAAAUAGACUUGUCUGUGAAGAUGCGGACUACCUGCACCAGGACAGAAAGACCCUAUGAAGCUUUACUGUAACCUGAAAUUGAAAUUGGACUUUACUUGCGCAGUAUAGGUGGGAGGCGUUGAGAAUAUUCUUGCGGGAUUAUUGGAGCCAUCAGUGAGAUACCACUCUUGUAAUGUUAGAUUUCUAACUUUGUAUCAUUAUCUGGUCAAAGAACAGUUUCAGGCGUGCAGUUUGACUGGGGCGGUCGCCUCCUAAACGGUAACGGAGGCGCACAAAGGUUUCCUCUGAACGGGUAGAAAUCGUAUCUAGAGUGUAAAGGCAUAAGGAAGCUUGACUGUGAGACCUACAAGUCGAGCAGGGACGAAAGUCGGUCUUAGUGAUCUGACGGUGCUGAGUGGAAAGGCCGUCACUCAACGGAUAAAAGUUACUCUAAGGAUAACAGGCUGAUCUCCCCCAAGAGUUCACAUCGACGGGGAGGUUUGGCAUCUCGAUGUCGGCUCAUCGCAUCCUGGGGCGGUAGUACGUCCCAAGGGUUGGGCUGUUCGCCCAUGAAAGCGGUACGCGAGCUGGGUUCAGAACGUCGUGAGACAGUUCGGUCCAUAUCCGGUGUAGGCGUUAGAAUAUUGAGAGGAGCCUUCUUUAGUACGAGAGGACCGAGAAGGACAUACCUCUGGUGUACCAGUUAUCGUGCCAACGGUAAACGCUGGGUAGCUAUGUGUGGAGUGGAUAACCGCUGAAAGCAUCUGAGUGGGAAGCCCACCUCAAGAUAAGUAUUCUCAUA
rnacentral:rRNA from 1 species